GCGACUUUUGAAAGUGUUAAAGUGGCCUAUCAAUUUGUUUACACAAGUCUCUAAGGAUCAAUAAGCAUUGUCCAUCUGCAGGUUUGAAGAUGUUGCAUCAUUGGGAUCGGGAAUAGAGAGCUUGUAUUUAGUUUUGAUUUGCUAAGUUGACUUGGGUUUGCUUAAUUGGACUUUAAACUUGUCAUACUAUUUAUAUUUCCUUAUUUUCGUUGGUUGAUUUUUGGGACUAAACCUGUAAUCGAUUAUUUAUAAACCUAAAGUUAGUUUUAUGUUUUCCGCUGCAAAA